UGCCAUGGAGACUUUUCUUCUGUGUGUAGUCCCAGCAUGCUGCGCUCACAACACUUGCAAAUAAAUAAAUAAAGUUUUUCAAAUUGCUACCCAACAGGACAUUAUACGUACAUGUCGUGGAUUACUGCCGUGGAUCCCAAAAAGAGGCGAGGACAAGAGCGUAAGACAGAGGAGGAGCAGAGAGGAAAGGAGGAGGAGAAAGAGAAAGGAGGAUGGAGGAUGGAGCUGACUUGCAUGGGAUGCUGAUGCUGUUGCAUGCUGCCUCCAUCCCUCCCUCUCUCUCUCUCCCUCGCCCAUGGUUUGGAGGAGGAAGAAGAAAAAGAAGAAGAAGAAGAAGAAGAAAAAAACAAGGAGUGGUUGUGUGAUUCCCGCUUAGCUCACGAGACAGAAAGAAACGGCAUGAGGGUGGAGGAAGAGGAGGAGGAAGAGUAGGAAGAGGAGGAAGAAGGGGGGGAGGGCGUUACCCCCCCUCCACCCCCCCCAGCACUUCAGCAUGGAUCCAAUGUGGAGACAAACGGAGCGGCUUCUCUCCUACCGAGCGGCGCUGCUGACCCUUCGGCCUCGCUGGAAAAGACGACGGCGUGCACUCUCGACCACGGGUAUUCUUGGGUUGAUAAUACAGAUGUGGAUGUUAUUGCUUGAGAAUACGCGUAGUCGAGUGGAGGCUUUGUCAGCGUCGCCGGGCCUCAAGCGGGCGUUGGUCAAACAGAAGGUGGGGCGGGGGAGGUGAUGAUGAUGAUGGUCCUGGGGGGCUUUUAAUGGCUAAGCUUUAACCAGAAUGCAAUCAUCAUCAAAUCCACUCGCUUCAAUGCUGAUUUCAUUUAGCACCCUAGGUUUAUCAAGCGCGCCCCUCUUAGCACCUGUGGAGGAAAUGAGUUUGCGAGGAUCUCCUGCAUGAGGCGACCUCCUGCACUAUAAGAUCAAGCCCACCCUGAAUCCCACCCCCACCCCCCUCCACCCAAAGCUCCUCCAAGGCAUUAGUUCAGGGAGAUUAACACCGAAGUCACAUGUUAAUUACAAACCUUCUCUUGUCAGUCAGCCGUGCCCCGAGAGAAGAGACCAUAAUCUCAUCACCGGUGAGAGGAUUUUGUCAGACUCUUUUCACCAACCAUUUUGCAGGAUUGUACACAUAAAAGGCAGAAAACUGAUCCAUUGAUGUUGACAUAAUUAUCUUUGUAUGAUGCAAUAUCGAUGUACAUAACGCUGCAUUGUCUACACUAAU